rnacentral:sRNA from 1 species
GCCGGGCAUGGUGGCACAUGCCUGUCAUCCCAACGACUUGAGAGGCUGAGGCAGGAGGAUCGCGAGUUCAAAGCCAGCCUCAGCAAAAGUAAGGCGCUAAGCAACUCAGUGAGACCCUGUCUCUA